AGAACGAACGCUGGCGGCAUGCCUAAUACAUGCAAGUCGAACGAAGGCUUCGGCCUUAGUGGCGCACGGGUGCGUAACGCGUGGGAAUCUGCCCCUUGGUUCGGAAUAACAGUUGGAAACGACUGCUAAUACCGGAUGAUGACGAAAGUCCAAAGAUUUAUCGCCAAGGGAUGAGCCCGCGUAGGAUUAGCUAGUUGGUGGGGUAAAGGCUCACCAAGGCGACGAUCCUUAGCUGGUCUGAGAGGAUGAUCAGCCACACUGGGACUGAGACACGGCCCAGACUCCUACGGGAGGCAGCAGUAGGGAAUAUGGACAAUGGGCGAAGCCUGAUCCAGCAAUGCCGCGUGAGUGAUGAAGGCCUUAGGUGUAAAGCUCUUUACCGAGAUGAUAAUGACAGUAUCGGAGAAUAAGCCCGAUAACUCCGCGCCAGCAGCCG
rnacentral:rRNA from 1 species